rnacentral:sRNA from 1 species
UCAUCAUUUCUAAAUUGGGCACGCCUAGU